GAUGCAGACUUGAAAAAACGAGCUCCAGUUUUCGGAUCUAAUCGAUGUUGAUUCCCAAUCAAACUCUUCUCUAAUCUUUACUCAAAUCGGUAUGAGUCUUUUAAGGGUUAUAAUAAGAAUUAGAAUUCAAUAGACGGUGGAUUAGGAGAAACAGUGAAAAUUUGGUCAAAGUAGGGCACGAAUUUCAAGCCAUGGAGAAGAACAGUGAUGCCAUAAGACUGAUUAAGAAGAAAUGGAGUUAGAAAGCGUCGUUGUUGAUUAAACCAAGGAGGAAUUGAUGGUAUGUUACUGCAAUUUUAUUUGUGGUUGAAUUGAGAUGUACCAGGAGUUGUUGCAGAUAUUGUACUAGAAUUGAACAUGAUCCGAGGAGAUUUAUUCUUAUCAAGUUUGGUUACUAAUUCUUACUUUUUCCAUGGCUCCUGCUAGUGAUUUUGUUUACUAAUUCUUACCUUUUCCAUUUAAUAUAUUUUUGGUGAUUUUUUUUA